rnacentral:rRNA from 1 species
AGAGUUUGAUCAUGGCUCAGAACGAACGCUGGCGGCGUGCUUAACACAUGCAAGUCGAGUGCGCGGUUGUAGCAAUACAACUGGCGCACGGCGCACGGGUGCGUAACACGUGGGCAAUCUGCCCUUCGAUGGGGAAUAACUCCGGGAAACCGAAGCUAAUUCCGCAUAACAUUCCUUGGACUUCGGUUCGAGGACUCAAAGCCGUAAGGCGUCGAAGGAGGAGCCCGCGCACGAUUAGCUAGUUGGUAGGGUAACGGCCUACCAAGGCUUUGAUCGUUAGCUGGUCUGAGAGGAUGGCCAGCCACACUGGAACUGAGACACGGUCCAGACUCCUACGGGAGGCAGCAGUGGGGAAUCUUGCACAAUGGGCGAAAGCCUGAUGCAGCGACGCCGCGUGGGGGAUGAAGCAUUUCGGUGUGUAAACCCCUUUCGACCCGGACGAAUGCCUCGCAAGAGGAGUGACGGUACGGGUAUAAGAAGCCCCGGCUAACUACGUGCCAGCAGCCGCGGUAAGACGUAGGGGGCCAGCGUUGUUCGGAAUUACUGGGUGUAAAGGGUUCGUAGGCGGUGUGGCAAGUUGGGAGUGAAAUCUCUGGGCUCAACCCAGAGGCUGCUUCCAAAACUGCUGUGCUUGAGUGUGGGAGAGGCGCGUGGAAUUGCAGGUGUAGCGGUGAAAUGCGUAGAUAUCUGCAGGAACACCCGUGGCGAAAGCGGCGCGCUGGACCACAACUGACGCUGAGGAACGAAAGCUAGGGGAGCAAACAGGAUUAGAUACCCUAGUAGUCC